rnacentral:rRNA from 1 species
UGUCAAGUCAGUAUGUCCCUUAUGUCCAGGGCUACACACGUGUUACAAUGGUCGGUACAAAGGGUUGCAAACUUGCAAGAGUAAGCUAAUCCCAAAAAACCGACCCCAGUUCAGAUUAGAGUCUGCAACUCGACUCUAUGAAGCAGGAAUCGCUAGUAAUCGUGGAUCAGCACGCCACGGUGAAUACGUUCCCGGGUCUU